ACUACUAUUCGAUAGGUAGGCUACUCAAGUUUAACCAAACUGUUCGUGGACCCCGUUUACUUCCAUAGUAUUACUUUUCCAAUUCCUGCUAUAGAAGUGAAUGGGAUCCAAAGACAUUUAUGCAGGUUUGUAACAACAUGAGGGUGAGUAAAUGAUGACAGAGUUUUCAUUUUUGGGUGAACUAUUUAACCUUUUAUAGCUUAGCAGAAAAAUGUUAUGUGACCUUUAAGAAUAGGAUAAAGUACAUCUUUAACAAAAGCAAAGAUUAAAAAACAAAUUGUAGAAUAAAUAGAAAGUGCUACAAAACAAUACAAAAUCGUCCCACUAUCACAUGCAGAUGUGUCACUUUGCAAUGGGGCAAUGAUGAAUAGUACACAGAACAACCAAAUAAGUUUUUACGAUUUAUAAACAAUUUAAAGAUAUUUUAAAGUGUUAUGUACUGUUCUAAUUCCAGAGAUGUUUAUUUAUGUAAAUGGUGUGAGGCUUUACCAUGUAUAUAAUAGGCCAAUGGCUAUGCUGUGCACGCGAAACAUGUCCUGCCCCUUUAAAUCACGAAGGGAGUUACCAUGGAAACUGAAGGAGCACGAGGACAGCUAGCUCCGUCUCCCGCGGUUUCUUCGCUGUUUUCAAGUAAGUUUAGUCCAUCAAAUCACACAAAUAAUACUAAAACCUGUUGUUGACACGCUUUUGUUAUAUAUUUACCUCAUAUAAAUGGCUUGUGUCUUUGAGAAAAGUUCGUUACCAUCCCAACAUGUUUCCGCACAUGCGGUCGGAACUGUGCUUCCGGUUUCUGUUGGUUUACUUGCUAAACUGAUCUCUUGAAAAAAUAACUCGUCGAAAAUAUUUUUUUGUUUCCAAUGUAAUAUACGUGUUGUUAAUUUGCUUGUUAUAAGCUAGGACUUUGUUGUUAUUUUUGCUUAGCAGAGUUUAACGGAAGUUACGUGUUUUCCACAAAAGCCUCUUUACUGUAUGUAUGUUACUGCUGAAACCGUCUAUAAGCGUUAGCUUUUGCUCUUGUUUAUGAACGUUUGGGCUUUUGAAAACAUAGAUGAGAGGUUUCAAAGUCUUUGUUAACGUUGUCAGUGCAUGACUGGAAGUAGGCAAAUUUAUUUAGUCUAAAUAUGCGAUGUACUGUAACGUCUAAACCUUGUUAAAUUGCACGGAGUGCUGAAGCUACUAACGUUAGUACGUAUGUUUUAUCGUAUACAAAUACAGACAUGUUGUUCUCUGAUUUCAGGAGUGACAAAAACCCUCUAUAAUAGAAGAGAAGCUCAAGAUUUCAACAUUUUCUGAAGGGAGUUGCAGACAUGUGUAGAAAACUGCUUUUCAAAUUUUCCACAUUUAUCACAGUUAUUUUAAGAUGUUGACAUCUAAACAUUGAAUGUUAUGUUUGUAGAUUUGUCCAUGCUAAUGGCCGAGCAGUAGGGUUGGAACAGACCUGUCAGAAAACAUCUCUGAACCAUAUGACUAAUUUCAAAACAAUUUAUUCUUGAGAGGAGGCACCACAGUUAAAGACAGUGUUUUGAAGAAUUUUGAACUUCCUGCUCACAAACUACCUACUUCUCCAGUUAGUCUGACAGGCUAUCAAUGAGAAUGCGGCAUUACAGGACACCACUGAAAACUAUACCACUAAAAACUGAUUAUUGCUGCAGUCAGAAGAAACAGAUUAACAGCAACUAUCUGCUUGAGACCAAGAGAUUGAGCACUGGGUUAAGACAUGGUUGCAGCUUGCCACAGACAGAGAUGAAGGUCGUUGGGCAAAAGAGAAGAUUUAAAGGCAUAGCUCACCCAAAAAUGGAAACUCAUUUACUUACCAUCAAGAUGUUUCAAACUCUAUCAAAUGUAUUUGUUCAGUUACUGACUGUUAUAAAUUAUACAGGUUUGGAACAACCUUUGGGUGAGCAAAAUUACAGUUUUAAUUUUAAUUAGUGAACUAUCCCUAUUGUGAGUUUUAUAAGUUUAUUAAGAAAUGUUGAGUAUUAUAUCAGAGUUUUGUAUGUAAGGAGAUGGUAGUUGUACGUUUGUGUGUUAAUAUAGAUGGUUUCAGUGGCAACAACAUAAAUCACUUUCAUGGCCCAAACUUAACUUCGGGUAGACCUCCACAUAGAUUCAAUAACAACCGAGUAUCUCUGGAGCAGUUUUUUUUCUGAUAACAAACAAAAUAAAUAACCAGUAAAUAGCCUUAGAUCAAAUCAUAGCUAAAGCAUUUCAACCAUUACAUUGAUCUAAUGUUACUGGGUAAAAUUAAGCUUUACAAUUUUAGCUACAGAUCUUUGAAAAUGUUUGUACGGUAUACUGCCCAUUUCCAGAAAGGUAAUAAAAACAGCGUGCACGCUGCUGACGUGUUAUCCUCAGACAUGUUUGUGAAGAUUGUUUUGUUUAUAGUGUGCGUCUCCCUCAGACUGUAAAAAAAGCUUGGGCAAACAAGAUAACAUGUCAGCAGCGUCACUCCAGUGUUGUGCACGAGGUUCACAACAGACCUGGAAGAGAAGACGAUGCUGAAUAAAGUCAUAAUUUCUGUUAUUUUUGGACCAAAAUUUAUUUUCGAUGCUUCAACACAUUCUAACUGACCCACUGAUAUCACAUGGACUACUUUGAUGAUGUACAGUAUAUAUUUGAUCGUGUAUACACAUAUCUAAAACAUCUUAAACUGUUUCCGAAGAUGAACGGAGGUGUUACGGGUUUGGAAUGACAUGAGGGUCAUUAAUUACAUAAUUUUCAUUUUGGAUGAAAUAACCCUUUAAGUUUGGCCAGGUGUGUAACUGUGGCAACGCACAUGCAUCUAUGGGUUCCAGUAUAUCUUACUAUAUAACAUAUUAAUUUAACUAACAUGUUUGACAAAUAUAAUUAUGUUUAUUUAUAAAUAUUAUCUGUAUUGGAUUUUUUAAAUGUUUAAUAAAGAAAUUUUGACUAUAUGAGUUUUAGUUUUUUCUUAACUAUAGGUUAAUUAGCAUAUAGUAAGAGUAGAUGUGUGCCACAGCUUAGAAGACGCUACUGCAUGGAAUGACAGC